ACAUCUAUAUUAUUCUUUCUGGAUAGUAUCCUCUUGUGCUCACUGCAACAAGUCAUGAUUUUUACAUCGAUAUGAAAAAAUUAGUUAGAACACUAAAAAGUAUAUUAAGAUGAUACUUACUCAAUAAAAUUUUUAAUUUUUUCAUAAUUAUUUAAAACAUAGAAGUAUGCCUUGGAUAGCCCAUUCACGUUCAUAAACUUAUAUUUUCUUCCACCCA
rnacentral:lncRNA from 1 species